ensembl:rRNA 5S_rRNA 5S ribosomal RNA
GCUUACGGCCAUACCACCCUGAGAACGCCCGAUCUCGUCUGAUCUCGGAAGCUAAGCGCGGUCGUGCCUGGUUAGUACUUGGAUGGGAGGCCGCCUGGGAAUACCAGGUGCUGUAAGCU